rnacentral:SRP_RNA from 2 species
GCUGGGUAUGGUGGUGUGUGCCUGUAGUCCUAGCUACCUGGGAGGCUGAGAUGGGAGGAUCGCUUGAGCCCAGGAGGUUGAGGCUGCAGUGAGCCAAGAUCAUGCCACUGCACCCCAGCAUGGGUGACAGAGCGAGACCCCAUCUCAA